UCCAAAGUUUCGUUGCGAAAUGUUGUUAAAUGCGGAUAAUAUAGCCUUGCGAAAUUUGCAAUUUUCAGUCAUUUUGUAUUGCAAACGGGAAAUUGAUGCCCCAACACCCGAUUGGGCUGUCAAUUUCCCGUGCGCAAUACAAAAUGACUGAAAAACGGAAAACUUCGCAAGGCUAUAUUAUCCGCAUUUUACAACAUUUCGCAACGAAACUUUGGAAUAUUACUAAUUUUGUCAUGCUCUUUCUAGCUGUGAUGAAAUUUUUGUCUAGAUAAAAAUUUAGUCUAUAAUGCAAAUGGUC
rnacentral:lncRNA from 1 species